UCCAGACUCCUACGGGAGGCAGCAGUGGGGGAUAUUGCACAAUGGGGGGAACCCUGAUGCAGCGACGCCGCGUGGGUGAAGGAGCGUUUCGGCGCGUAAAGCCCUAUCGGCAGGGAAGAAGGAGGACGGUACCUGACUAAGAAGCCCCGGCUAACUACGUGCCAGCAGCCGCGGUAAUACGUAGGGGGCAAGCGUUAUCCGGAUUUACUGGGUGUAAAGGGGGCGCAGACGGCAGCGCAAGCCAGGAGUGAAAGCCCGGGGCCCAACCCCGGGACUGCUCUUGGAACUGCGCGGCUGGAGUGCAGGAGGGGCAGGCGGAAUUCCUGGUGUAGCGGUGAAAUGCGUAGAUAUCAGGAGGAACACCGGUGGCGAAGGCGGCCUGCUGGACUGCGACUGACGUUGAGGCCCGAAAGCGUGGGGAGCAAACAGGAUUAGAUACCCCUGUACUA
rnacentral:rRNA from 1 species